UGUUCUGUGAGUUCUGCCCAGUUCUGCUUUUGGCCCUGGUUCUCUGGCUGCUGAAGAGCUCUUUGCUGAAGGAAAACAUCCAGAACAAACAUUCUGCGUCUCAACUCAGGUUCUCAUCAUCUUUAGAAUGGUUGAUGGAGUUCCAGGUGCUGAUAUUAGAACCAGCUCUGUCCCUAAUGAGGUGCUGCCUGUUUACCAGCCUGAUUUGCAAUGCCCCAGCUCCCUCUUCUCUAACCUCCUGUGCCCAUUCCUAGGUGCAACUGACAAAGUGGGAAACUGAGGCUCCAAAAGGGCAGGAACGGAGGCAAACAGGAUGAAGUGAUUUG